GGGAAAUCCCAAGAAGGCGACUUAUGGGAAAACCCCUGUCAUUUCCACAAUUGCCCUUCUAGGGACUGAAAUGACAUCAUUCCAAAAAUACUUUCAAAAUAUAAACACAGCCGAACGAAACAUUAAUAAUUUGCAAUUAGGCCUGAUCCAAGUAGGUUUUAUCCGACUGCAAAAUGCUAAGAAGUUGUAGGCUUAAAGCUAAAUUAAAUCAUGCUGUAGAUCUGUGUAUACGUGGAUGACUCCAGCUGGAAAUUUGUGCUUAUGGAAGACAUCCAAGGCCAUAUCGAGGAACAUGGCGUUUCAGAAAUUGAGGAGCUUUUUAAAACGAAACUGGGGCCCUGGGAAGACUCCAAAAUAAAUAUCGGUAUCAUAGGCAAUUCUGGUGUUGGAAAGUCAAGCUUCAUAAACGCUAUAAGAGGGUAAGAGAUUUGUAAACUUAAAUUGUUACUGACGUAGGGUAUUUUAAUUAAUAAUGCA